CAGAAUGAGAAGAAAGCUUCAGUCGACUUGAUUUUUCUUCAGAACAGAUUGCGGUUGCCGACAAGGUAUUGGUGGUCGCCAGCAUGCGCCCAAUAGUUUGGACUGCAGGAAGUGAGUAGUACUCAAAGACCGGCAUUUGUGAAGCAUUGGGUUGAUAGUAGUUAACCUGUGAGGCUUCUUGAAGGAGGCCAUAGAGCCUGCCGAUCACUUUUUCGACGGAAUUACUCAGAAGAUAACCACAUGGUUACUUAGUCAGAUGAAAUGGGUUGCUUCAAAAUGCUUAAGCCUCUGCGAUAUUAUGCUUGUAAGGGUUUACAGACACUCAUCCUCUGCAGUAUCGGUGUGUUGCUUCUCUUUUUCAACUCAUAUAUCGAUACACAAGCUCAGAUUUUUCAGUAGCUCCACUGGUAUUGCAAACCCACCCGAAAUGAAUUCAGUUUCCAAGACGAAUUCAAAAGGUAUGGAUACGAUAACUUCAUCAGAGUCGCAGGAGAAAGAAAAGGAGAACUUGAUCCCCUACUUGUUGGAGACGAGCAAAACGCCUCCUUUCCUGGUCCUCGCUUUUAAUAUUUGCAAGAUCCUUAUUCAGUGCAAAGAGUGGUCUAAAUCGGUUGAGACGGAGCUUCAGGAUCUGAAUGUGGAGUUGAACACCUACAUUGUCAAUCAUGUCUUGGAGAGUCUCUCGGCUGAAAUGGGUUUCCGUUUUUACAACUGGGCUGAAUCCAAAUUGGGCUUUAAACAUGACCGCUUGACUAAUCGAUCCAUGAUUUGCGCGCUCCUUCGUGAUUGCGACUAUGAUCUCUUAUCACAGUUUUGGCAGAGAAUGAAGGAUGCAGGCUUUCCAAUACAUCGGUCUAUAUAUCGUAUUCUUAUAUCGGGCUAUGUUAGAGCUGGGUUAAUUGACCUUGCUAUCCAAACUUUCGAUGAGAUGAUUGAUUCUGAUUGCAGGGUGUUUAGUAUAGAUUAUGAUAGAUUUAUUGGAGUAUUAGUUCGAGAAUCUCGCUUUGAUAUGGCUGAGCACUACUACAGUAAAUUGAUGCUGCAAGGAUUUUCUUUAUGUUCAUUUACGUAUUCAAGGUUCAUCUCUGGGCUCUGCAAGGUGAAGCAUCUGGGUCUCAUUAGCAGAUUUCUAGAUGACAUGGAUAAGCUCGGGUAUGUCCCUGACAUUUGGGCCUAUAAUGUAUAUAUUAAUCUCAUGUGCCAGGAAAAUAGAUUAGAUGUUGCCCUUGAAGUACUGCAGAUGAUGAGUCAGAAAGAAAGAGGUCCUGAUCUUGUUUCCUAUACCACAGUUAUUAAUGGUUUGUGCAAAAUUGGACGCUUCGAAACAGCAGUGGAGAUUUGGCGUGAAAUGAUAACAAAGGGAUUUAACCCAGAUGCUACGGCUUGUGGGGCUCUGGUUUUUGGUUUAUGUAAUUGUGGAAAAGUUGAUUUGGCUUAUGAGCUUAUGGUGGGAAUGAUCAAGGGUCAAGUUGAGUUGAGCACUUCAAUUUACAAUGCUCUUAUUAAUGGGUUUUGUCGAGCUGGUCGGGUUGAUAAAGCCCAAAUAAUCAAGUCAUUCAUGAUCAGGAAUGGCUGCAGACCAGAUUUGAUUACUUAUAACACACUAUUGAAUUACUGUUGUAAUAGGCGUAUGAUAGAGGAAGCAGAGGGAUUGAUGGAAACGAUGAAAAGGAGUCGCUUAAGACCUGAUAGGUACAGUUACAAUCAGCUUUUGAAGGGCCUUUGUAAGGCUAACCGACUAGAAAAAGCAUACCGUUUGAUGGUGACAGAGAUGGAAACAAAGGGGUUUUGUGAUGUUGUCUCAUACAAUACUCUCAUCAGAGCACUGUGCCAAGCCCGCCACACCAAAAGGGCAUACAAGUUAUUUGAGGAAAUGGGGCGAAAAGGGAUUGUCCCAGAUGUCGUGACAUUCACCAUUCUCAUAAAUGCUUCGUUUAGAGAAGAUUGUUCUGAAUUUGCAGAGGAUCUUUUCGACCAAAUGGUGGGGAUGGGAUUGAUUCCUGAUCGUGUUGUGUAUACAACAAUGGUUGAUAAUCUGUGCAGGACUGGUAGAAUCGAGAUGGCUCGAAACUUCUUCUUAAAUAUGGUUGAGAAAGGAAUUGUCCCCGACGUAGUUUCAUACAAUGCCCUUAUAAAUGGACUUUGCAAGGCUUCUAGGGCUAGUGAAUCCAUGCAUCUUUACGUGGACAUGUGUGCUCAUGGGCCUCAUCCUGAUGAGGUUACUUAUAAAUUAAUUAUAUCAGGGCUCAUGCAGGAGGAAAAGCUUUCAAUGGCUUGUCAGGUGUGGGACCAGAUGAUGGAGAAUGGGUUUACUCUAGACAAAGUGGUUUCUAAUGAUCUUAUAAAAGCCAUUAGUUCAAAGGAUGCAUCUUUCAUGAAUGGCAGAUGAUAUUGAAACCUACAGUACUAGAGUAAUUUCCAUCUCUUCAGAAGCCUGUAAAUGACACAGAGUUAGACCAAGUUGCACUGAGUUAAGCCAGCUGUUGCUGGUAUCUGCACUCCAUCCUGGCUAGACAACGGAAAAAGGGGCAUUCAGUUGUGGUCAUCAUCUAGCCAUCGACUACUGCUUCGACAACCUUGACAAGAAGUUGACGGAGACCCUCUUGUUAGGGUAACAAUGCUUCAUUAUAUCAUGAAUUUCACUUUCUUAGUUGUUUAGUCAAUAUAAAUAUUAUUCUUUAUUCUGUAGUCACAAACAAAUCACUGAAAUAUAAUGAAUAAAAUCUAUAUUAUUCUAUUGCAUUUACUCAUCCGGGGAGGUGGCCUGUUGAUUCUCAAUAGAGGUUCCUUAACCUAGAUGCACAUCCGGUUGUAUGUAGCAAUGCAAGUUGGGCAAUACCACUCUGGAUUUU